rnacentral:lncRNA from 1 species
CUAAGAAACCAUACCUGCCAUGUGACAGCUACUCCGACAGUUGAAGUGAACUCAAGACUGAGUAAAUUCAAGAUCUGUAGAUACUGUGCCUGAAUAAACACAGGUGCAAAUACUAUGGUAGCAUUGUUAGCCAUAGUGGACCUUUGUUUUGUAAAUUUAAAAUCAACAGGAUACCCAAUAAGCUUCUAACAAGUUUCCCGUUUGUGACCUUUAAUCUUUCAAUUGUCACACACAUCUUUCAAUGGUCACAGAAUACAAUGUUGUAGGUUCAUGUUGUCUUUGAG